CGGCUGCCCAAACUGGGGCAGGGCAGGGCACGGGCAGGACAACCCCUUCAUCCGGAUCGGAUCCGGGAGAAAAGCAAACACCGGUGGGAUUACCCAGCAUGCUUAGAGACAAAAGAAGCAGUAGAAGCCGAACUCUGGAGAUGUGCAGCCGGCGGGAUCUGGUCACUGGCUGCGAGGAUUAGGAGACAGAGCGUGCAUCUUCAUGGUGUAGCCUGUUGGUCUGCUGGGCUGACACAACCACAGGCAUAAACCAUGACUGUUACUGUCUCAGUUCUGGAGGCUACAGUCAUCCAAGGUCAAGGUGUCCGCGGGGCUGGCUCCCUCUGGGGACAGCGAGAAAGAAUCUGUUCCAUGCCUCUCCCCUUCCUUCUGGGGGUUCACAGCAUUUUGCAGCUCAGCUUGUGACUUUCGAAUCAAGAUGGAGCCUCUCUCCCUGUCUUGAACUGCGGUUGCUGGAACAGCAUCACUUGACCAAUAGAGCAAGGUGGAAAUGAUGCUGUGCCCACUUCUGAUGUGGCCCUGGACUGUGGCUUUCCCUGCCUCAUUGGAAGGUUUGCUUGUGGGAGGUGCCUGCUCUGAGUCUAGACACCAGGCUGUGCACAGCCCAAGCAACACAGAGUGGCUAUACGGAGCUGUUUCCAUCAGCAGCCUCGGGAGAACUUCAGCCAACAGUCAGCAUCAACUGCAGCAUCAGCUGUCCCUUGUACACCCAUCCCACUCCAGCUUUUGGGUAACUACAUCUCAGCCAGCAUCUGAACAUAACUUCAUGACAGAUCCCCAAGGGAGCAAGCACAGGCCACAAGAAGCAGUAAGACAUUGUCGUUUCAAGCCAUUAAGUUCGGAGAUGGCCUAUCACAGAGCAAUAGCUAACUGGAACUUUCCUGACUAGGGAUGUGCUAUGGCUGGUGCUGAAACUACUGAACAGGAAAACCACCUGCUAAAGUAAGGAACUCCCGGGACAACUGGUCCCCAAACUGGGGACCCCUGCUCUGCGAUGAACCACACACAAAAUGGAUGUCUACAUUUGCCUCUCUGCUCCCCCUCCAAAAAAAAAAAAAAAAAAAGACUCGUGAAAAUGCCUAUGAUUGGUCAACUGGAUCAUCUAUGAGAUCCUAGCUACAAGGAAGUCUGGGAAAUGUAGUUUCUUUAAAAAGCUGUCCAGUCUGUAAGAUAAAAGUAUAUUGAAAUGGAUAUUGAAUAAAGCGGUCCUCAGCCAUCUGUUCUAAUUCCUCAAUGACCAAGCAAUCUCAAGACACAAGAAAAUGUUUUAAAAAUAUAUUCUGCAUGAUUCAAACUCUUCAUCCAAAACAUGUGUUGCAUUCAUUACUCUGUACAUCACACUCAAUUAUUUUACUAUUUAAUUGUGUAUUUCUCUGUUCUGAGAGUUCUUUGAUCUUUAUUAUGUUUUUUAGCAACUACAAAAAACAGUUGAAGCAAGCAUGAUAACCCUUUGGUGAUUGGUUACUUCUUUAUUUUUAGAGAGAUCAUUUUUUUAAAAAAAAAUUUAUUUAUGUUAAAGUCAGAGUUAGAGAAAGGCAAAGGCAGAGAAAGAGAGGUUUUCCAUCCGCUGGUUCACUCCCCAAAUGGCCACAACGGCCAGAGCUGCACUGAUCCAAAGCCAGGAGCUUCUUCCAGGUCUUUCAUGCAGGUGCAGGGACCCAAGGACUUAGACCAUCUUUUACUGCCUUCCCAGAACAUGGCAGAGAGCAGUAUUGGAAGAGGAGCAGCUGAGACCUGAAUCGGCACCCCUAUAGGAUGCUGGCACUGCAGGCGGCAGCUUUACCCACUACACCACAGCGCCAGCAUCCACUGAUUACAUUUUAACUAAAAGGAUACCGAUGUCUUUGUAGGUUGGACUCAUUGUACACAAAAAAUAGAAUAGUCUGCAGUUUUAGAAUAUGGAUAAAAUUUUCUUUUAUAAAUUCAGUGUAUGUUAAGGGGUUUGUUAUUAAGGUAAAAACUCACCUAAAAUUCACCAUUUUAACUAUGUUAAAGUAAACGAUUCAGUGGCAUUUCGUACAUUCACUGUGUGGUACAAAUGCCACUCUCAUAUCUGAAACAUUUUCAUCACCACAAACAGAAACCCUGUAUCCAUGAAGAGGCCCCUUUCGCCUCCCCUCUGACCCCAGCCCCUGGCAAUCAUUAAUUUGCUUUCUGUCAUGACCUACUCUGGAUAUUUCAUAUAAAUGGAACUAUACAGCAUGUGACCAUUCGUGUGUCUUCUUUUCCAUAGCAUAACACAGUCAAGGUUCACCUGUGUACACGUAUCAGUACUGCCUUCCUUUUUACAGUGGAACGAUA